rnacentral:rRNA from 1 species
GACGAACGCUGGCGGCGUGCCUAAUACAUGCAAGUCGAACGCAGUGGGGACGGGUGAGUAACACGUGGGUAACCUCCCAUCAGAGGGGAUAACACUUGGAAACAGGUGCUAAACCGAUAUUGUGGAAGGGACCCGGGUGGCUUUAGCUAGUGGUGGGGUUACGGGCUCACCAAGGCCACGAUGCAUAGCCGACCUGAGAGGGUGAUCGGCAACACUGGGACUGAGACACGGCCCAGACUCCUACGGGAGGCAGCAGUAGGGAAUCUUCGGCAAUGGACGAAAGUCUGACCGAGCAACGCCGCGUGAGUGAAGAAGGUUUUCGGAUCGUAAAACUCUGUUGUUAGAGAAGCGGUAUCUAACCAGAAAGCCACGGCUAACUACGUGCCAGCAGCCGCGGUAAUUC